GACAGAGGGUGCAAACGUUGUUCGGAAUCACUGGGCGUAAAGCGCACGUAGGCGGAUUUGUCAGUCAGGGGUGAAAUCCCGGGGCUCAACCUCGGAACUGCCUUUGAUACAGCAAGUCUUGAGUUCGAGAGAGGUGGGUGGAAUUCCUAGUGUAGAGGUGAAAUUCGUAGAUAUUAGGAAGAACACCGGUGGCGAAGGCGGCCCACUGGCUCGAUACUGACGCUGAGGUGCGAAAGCGUGGGGAGCAAACAGG
rnacentral:rRNA from 1 species